GGCUCAGGCACCCACCUUCCCAUCAGUCAGGAGAGGGUCCCCAAGAAGGGAAAGCAUGGUCUCCUGCACUUCUUGGUUCGAGCACCCCGCUUCUGUUCAGGUGACCCCAGAGCCCUCAGUCACAUGGGCAGCCGUCAGGGACAAGGGAGCGAGCCUCCGGGACCCGUGGGAGGAACAGGACGGCCCCUGUGCUGCCCACAGUGACCCUGCACCCCUCCCCAGACUCUGGGCACCGAGAGCGGCUAUGCGGGCAGGAGGAGCGAGUCCGGAGCGACCUGGGAGCCACCUGGGAGCAGAAGGAGGGCAGUGGGGAGCCUUUCCUUUGUGCUGUUUUCCAUGUGGAGAAACCACAGCCUGCUCGAGGGAGGGGCUGCGCACUACAGGGAGGGCGUCCCCGGGGCCAGAGUCCAUCCCUGCCAAGGACAGUCCAAGCUCCCCACCCCUGGCCCUCAGAAGCUGCCAUCCUUCCCUGGCUCCGAGGACCCCACCAUCUCCUGUUCCCUCAUGACUUCAUGCCCCAGGACACGGUUUCUCAGCCACACUCUGAGCUCCGGGCGGGGGGAGGGGUGGCUUUGAGUGCAGGUGCCAGCCCUCCCUCAAACACCUGCUGAUGGGCCUCCUGGGCCCAGCCAGGCAUUGGGUUUGGGCGGUCUCAUGGGGCUCCUCACCUCCUUAGCAGCAGCCCCCUCUCUAACAUCGUAACGUCUGGCUCACUUCCCAUGGGCUUGGGCCCCACGGGGACCCUGACCGGCUGGUCCCAUGCCUUGUCACUGCCAGCCCCCCCUGCUCCCGCCCAACAGCCUGGACGGCGCGGUUGGUGCUGUAACCACCCCUUGGCUGUGCCCCACACUCACUCACCUAGAAACCUCACCAGCUGUGGGUCUGGGGCCGCACCUGCUGUGGCCUGUCGACACCACAUCAUGUUCUAGACACUAGGAAGGGUUUGGGGUGGGCCUCCUGCCGAGGCCAACAAAGGCUUCCAAGGUGACAUUUGAGAAGAGACAGAAACAAGAGGGAGUGGAAGACAGUAGAAGGCUCUAGCAGGGACACAACCCGUGGGAGACCUGGACCAUGGUCCCACCCAGAAAUGGCAGGACACUGUAGGGGCUGGAGCGGCGAGGACAGAAAGCUGAGCCUACGCCCAGGGGCAGGGUCCGCCCCACCAGACCUCGGGCAGCACAGUGGGGUGGGGUCUGGACGUUGACUUUGGAGGCCACUGGGGCUUCUGAGCCGAGAACUGAUGGGACCUGGUGUCUGUUUUACACCAUCUGUGGGUGAGACCUCAGGUACCAAGUGGUGUCAGGGACCUCAUCCGUUGUCCUCUGAGACGGAGGGGGUGAGGGCAGGUGGAGAUGGCUGCUGGCGGGAGGCUGAGCCCUGGGGUGGGAGGGCAGGUUCCAGGUGCCCACUAGCAGCCAAGGGCAGAAGGGGUUGAUGGGUCUGGAGCUCAUGGGACAGAAGUGUGGGGCCCACCAUCUCAGAGUGAGUGGAAGCCAUGGGGCUGGCUCUCUGGCUGUGACGGCAGGCCAGGCUCGGCCCAGGCGGACACCGUCAGAGGGGGGCGGGGGGAGGCACCUGCCCCGGGUUGUUCGGUCAGGGAGGCAGGGGAGGGAGCUGCCAUCCAGCAUGAGAGCCCAGGCAGGAGGGGGCACCGGCUGCCCCCACCCUGCCCGCCCCAAUCUGCAGCGGCCCCGCCUGCCACCUCUGACCCUGCUGGUGGGCUGGACAGACAGCAACCCUGCCGUCCCCCUCCCGACCUUCACCUGUGGCUGAUUGCACGUGUCCCCAUGAGGCCACAGCAGCACCCAAACCCUCCACACGUGCCCACACACACGCACCUGCGUGCCCACACACACGCACGUGCACACGCGUGCACACACAUUGCUACACACGCACGGGCAGACACACAUGCGUGUGCCCAAAUGUACACCCGCCCCACACGCGGUCACAUGCAGCGCCACCAUCGGGUCCGGGAGACGACGUAACGGAACACGAGGCAUCGGGAGCGAGCACCUGAGCUGGGCAGACAGCACAGCCUCCCCAGACCAACACAGAUGCACGUCCUCUUCAGCCAUUAACCUAAAAACCACAACACCUUCAAAGAGGGAGGGAUGGACAGUAGUAACAGGAAGCCAGAAUUAACAGGAGCGAAGAAAAGACCAUCGGAAGCCCCGUGGGGAGGACACAAAAGAAGGAAGAAUCAGUCUUAGGGUUCAAGGUCGAAUAUGCAGCAGGUCCAUUUGUUCGAUUUUUCCUAGCAGAGUAUGCCAAUAUUAUCAUAAUAAAUAUCCUUAAAACCAUUCUAUUUUUCGGAGCGUUCCACAGCCCCUACACACCAGAACUAUAUACUGUUAACUUCACUGUAAAAACCCUGUUCCCAACAAUCUCCUUAUGAAUCCGAGCACCCUACCCACGAUUCCGAUAUGAUCAACUAAUACACCUAUUAUGAAAAAAUUUCCUACCACUUACGCUAGCCCUAUGCCUAUGACACGUAACUGUACCCAUCCUUACAGCAAGCGUCCCUCCCCAAACAUAAGAAACAUGUCUGAUAAAAGAAUGACUUUGGUAGAGUAAAUAAUAGAGGGUUAAGUCCUCUUAUUUCUAGAAUUAUAGGAAUCAAUCCUAAUCUUAAGAAUUCAGAAAUCUUCGUGCUACCUAAUUACACCACAUUCUAAAGUAAGGUCAGCUAAACAAGCUAUCGGGCCCACGCCCCGAAAAUGUUGGCUUAUCCCCUUCCUGUACUAAUAAAACCUCCCAUCCUCGUUGUUAUUAUGUCUACUAUCAUCUUAGGAACUAUAAUUGUACUAUUCAGCUCCCACUGAUUUAUAAUCCGAAUUGGCUUUGAAAUAAAUAUACUAGCAAUCAUCCCAAUUCUGAUAAAAAAAAAUUCAAUCCACGAGCCAUAGAAACUUCCACAAAAUAUUUUCUAACACAAGCCACCGCAUCCAUACCCCUAACACCGGGCAUUAUCAUCAACCACUAUACUCAGGACCCUGAACCGUAGUCACUGCUGCCCUGACAAUAAAACUUGGCCUAUCGCCUUUCCACUCCCGAGUCCCUCCCUCUGACCCCCCCUCCCCUCUAAAAAAAACCGUUAGAUUCUUUAAUGCAGAACAUGAUGAAGAUAAUGGAAAUAUUCCUUAGGAGUCAGCUCAAUGUCAGAAGACAGGGAGAAAUAACCCAAAGUGUUGAAGAAAACAUACUCAAAUUUUACAUCCAGUGGAAUUAUCACUGAAAUCAACGGGG
rnacentral:lncRNA from 1 species